rnacentral:rRNA from 1 species
GUUAGCGGCGGACGGGUGAGUAACACGUGGGUAACCUGCCUGUAAGACUGGGAUAACUCCGGGAAACCGGGGCUAAUACCGGAUGGUUGUCUGAACCGCAUGGUUCAGACAUAAAAGGUGGCUUCGGCUACCACUUACAGAUGGACCCGCGGCGCAUUAGCUAGUUGGUGAGGUAACGGCUCACCAAGGCGACGAUGCGUAGCCGACCUGAGAGGGUGAUCGGCCACACUGGGACUGAGACACGGCCCAGACUCCUACGGGAGGCAGCAGUAGGGAAUCUUCCGCAAUGGACGAAAGUCUGACGGAGCAACGCCGCGUGAGUGAUGAAGGUUUUCGGAUCGUAAAGCUCUGUUGUUAGGGAAGAACAAGUGCCGUUCAAAUAGGGCGGCACCUUGACGGUACCUAACCAGAAAGCCACGGCUAACUACGUGCCAGCAGCCGCGGUAAUACGUAGGUGGCAAGCGUUGUCCGGAAUUAUUGGGCGUAAAGGGCUCGCAGGCGGUUUCUUAAGUCUGAUGUGAAAGCCCCCGGCUCAACCGGGGAGGGUCAUUGGAAACUGGGGAACUUGAGUGCAGAAGAGGAGAGUGGAAUUCCACGUGUAGCGGUGAAAUGCGUAGAGAUGUGGAGGAACACCAGUGGCGAAGGCGACUCUCUGGUCUGUAACUGACGCUGAGGAGCGAAAGCGUGGGGAGCGAACAGGAUUAGAUACCCUGGUAGUCCACGCCGUAAACGAUGAGUGCUAAGUGUUAGGGGGUUUCCGCCCCUUAGUGCUGCAGCUAACGCAUUAAGCACUCCGCCUGGGGAGUACGGUCGCAAGACUGAAACUCAA